CGCGUAGGCGGACUGGAAAGUCAGAGGUGAAAUCCCAGGGCUCAACCUUGGAACUGCCUUUGAAACUAUCAGUCUGGAGUUCGAGAGAGGUGAGUGGAAUUCCGAGUGUAGAGGUGAAAUUCGUAGAUAUUCGGAGGAACACCAGUGGCGAAGGCGGCUCACUGGCUCGAUACUGACGCUGAGGUGCGAAAGCGUGGGGAGCAAACA
rnacentral:rRNA from 1 species